GAGUGAAGAUAAGAUUGAGAGAGAGAAUGAAAGGAGAGGAUGGGAGGGAAGAAUAACAAAAAUGAAAACAAUUUCAAAUAGAUUGCAAUUUUUUGUUUUCAUUUUUGUUACUUAUUCCUCCCAUCUCCUCCUCAUCUUCCCUCUCAAUCUCAUAUUCACUCU
rnacentral:snoRNA from 1 species